rnacentral:rRNA from 1 species
AGCCGCGGUCGUACCACGGCUACUACACCAGAUCCCAACAGAACUGUGCAGUCGAGCGCACUAGGACCGGAAUAGUAUUACGAGGAGUAAUCUCCCGGAAAGUCAAUUAGCGUAUUUU